rnacentral:rRNA from 1 species
UACGAAGGGGGCGAGCGUUGUUCGGAUUUACUGGGCGUAAAGGGCGCGCAGGCGGCGACCCAAGUCAGGCGUGAAAGCCCCGGGCUUAACCUGGGAGGUGCGUCUGGGACUGGGUGGCUAGAGAUCGGGAGAGGAGAGUGGAAUUCCCAGUGUAGAGGUGAAAUUCGAUAGAUAUUGGGAAGAACACCGGUGGCGAAGGCGGCUCUCUGGACCGAUACUGACGCUGAGGCGCGAAAGCCAGGGGAGCAAACGGGG